rnacentral:rRNA from 1 species
CCUACGGGAGGCAGCAGUAGGGAAUAUUGGACAAUGGGUGCGAGCCUGAUCCAGCCAUGCCGCGUGCAGGAAGAAGGCCUUCUGGGUUGUAAACUGCUUUUGCCGGGGGAUAAAAGACCCAUGCGUGGGGAAUUGAAGGUACCCGGUGAAUAAGCCACGGCUAACUACGUGCCAGCAGCCGCGGUAAUACGUAGGUGGCGAGCGUUGUCCGGAUUUAUUGGGUUUAAAGGGUGCGUAGGCGGCCCCGUAAGUCAGUGGUGAAAUACGGCAGCUCAACUGUCGAGGUGCCAUUGAUACUGCGGGGCUUGAGUACAGUCGAGGUAGGCGGAAUUGACGGUGUAGCGGUGAAAUGCUUAGAUAUCGUCAAGAACACCGAUAGCGAAGGCAGCUUGCUAGGCUGUAACUGACGCUGAGGCACGAAAGUGCGGGGAUCAAACAGGAUUAGAUACCCUGGUAGUCCGCACAGUAAACGAUGGUCACUCGGUGUUGGCGGUACACGGCCAGCGCCUUAGCGAAAGCGUUAAGUGACCACCUGGGGAGUACGCCCGCAAGGGUGAAACGUCAAAUUGAAAUUGACGG